GUAUGUGGGACGCUGCCAUAGCAUGGCUUGAUGAGCGGUGUGUAGGUCCAUGCCUCGGAUCUGAACCUGUGAAACCUGGGCCAUGGAAGUGGAGCAGGGAACCUAACCUCUACGCCACCAGACUUUACCACAAGUGUAAGGAAAUAAAGAGAAGCAGAAACAGAGAGAGAGCGAGCAAGGAAGAAAGAAAAGAAGGAAGAAAGGAAGAAAGAAAGAAGGAAAGAAAAAAAGAAAGAAAAAGAUAAAAAGACAAAGAAAGAAUCAUAGUGGUAACUCCCGGGAAAACCGCUGUUACCAUUUUGGUGGCGCUCCUUCCAGACUUUUCUCUGUGCAUGACUAUCAAAAUACCUAGAUGUACCUGUGUGUUAAAGACUAUAGCAUAAUAUUUUCUAUGUUGUUUUAUAAAGUUUUCUCUCUUUUCCACUUACCAAUAUUUUGAUAACAUUUCAUCUUGUCAACGAAUGUUCAUCUCCAGCGCCUUUUUUCCCUUGCGGCUGUGGACACCUCGUGGACGGGUCUACUGUGUUUGGGUGGGGACAUGGAGGCCCAAGGCCCCACAGCAGGUGAUGGAAGUGCCAAGCCCAGUGACCAGCCUGGGGUCCAUUCUGUGCCAGCUCACCUGCAGGGAGCAUUGCUGCUGAGGUCACAGUUCCUGGAGCCAGACUGCUCCUGGCACCGCCAUGCACACUCACGGUCAGAUGUGUGACAAUGGGAGUCGGACUUCAGAGCGGUUAUAGCUUCUUCCAGUGCCAAAGCGGAGGCUUCCUGGACGCAGCCCGGGACGGAGCGGCCUGGCAGAUGGGGACGUGGCGGGCGUUAUGGGCUGAAUUGUGUCCCCCUCCCCAGAAAUUCACAUGUUGAGGUCCUAACCCCAGUGUCAGAAUGUGGCUGUAUCUGGAGACAGGGUCUUUAACGAGGUAAUUGAGUUAAAAUGAGUUCAUUUAACCCAAUGUGACUGGUGUCCUUACGAGAAGAGGGGAUCAGGACACAGACACACACAGAAGGAAAAGCACGUGAAGAUAUGGGGACAAGGUGGCCACCGACAGGCCAAGGAGAGAGGCCGCAGGAGAAACCGGCCCUGCGGACACCUUGAUCUUGGACUUUGAGCCUCUAGAAUUGUGAGAAAAUAAAUUUUGUUGUUUGAGCCACCCAGUCCGUGGUUCUUUGUCAUGGC
rnacentral:lncRNA from 1 species